UACGUAGGGGGCAAGCGUUGUCCGGAAUUAUUGGGCGUAAAGCGCGUGUAGGCGGUCCGGUAAGUCGGUUGUGAAAGUCCAGGGCUCAACCCUGGGAUGCCGAUCGAUACUGCCGGACUAGAGUCCGGAAGAGGCGAGUGGAAUUCCCGGUGUAGCGGUGAAAUGCGCAGAUAUCAGGAGGAACACCAGUGGCGAAGGCGACUUCCUGGCCUGUUCUUGACGCUGAGGCGCGAAAGCUAGGGUAGCAAACGGG
rnacentral:rRNA from 1 species